CANUAGUGAUUGGGGAAUUUUCCGCNAUGGGCGNAAGCCUGACGGAGCAAUACCGCGUGAGGGAGGAAGGCUCUUGGGUUGUAAACCCCUUUUCUCAGGGAAUAAGAAACUGAAGGUACCUGAGGAAUCAGCAUCGGCUAACUCCGUGCCAGCAGCCGCGGUAAUACGGAGGAUGCAAGCGUUAUCCGGAAUGAUUGGGCGUAAAGCGUCCGCAGGUGGUUUAUCAAGUCUGCUGUCAAAGAGUUUGGCUCAACCAAAUAAAGGCAGUGGAAACUGACAGACUGGAGUGCGGUAAGGGCAGAGGGAAUUCCUGGUGUAGCGGUGAAAUGCGUAGAGAUCAGGAAGAACACCGGUGGCGAAAGCGCUCUGCUGGGCCGUAACUGACACUGAGGGACGAAAGCUAGGGGAGCGAAUGGGAUUAGAUACCCCAGUAGUC
rnacentral:rRNA from 1 species